rnacentral:rRNA from 1 species
GAUCCUGGCUCAGGAUGAACGCUAGCGACAGGCUUAACACAUGCAAGUCGAGGGGCGAGCAUGGUCAGUAGCAAUACCGACUGAUGGCGACCGGCGCACGGGUGAGUAACGCGUAUGCAACCUGCCCUGGUACAGGGGGAUAGCCCAUGGAAACGUGGAUUAAUAUCCCAUAGUAAUCAUGAUAGGCAUCUAUUUUGAUUUAAAUCUUCUGAGGUACAGGAUGGGCA